rnacentral:rRNA from 1 species
AGCUAAAAAGCUAGCUCCACAAUAAAGGUAUAACCAAACAAUAUUAACCCAAACCCUACAAAAAUUAAAAUUUAUAAUUAAAUCAUUUUCCCGCCUUAGUAUGGGUGACAGAAAAGGCCUACCUGAAGCAAUAGAAAAAGUACCGCAAGGGAAAGCUGAAAAAGAAAUGAAAAAACCACUAAAGCAGCAAAAAGCAGAGAUAAAACCUCGUACCUUUUGCAUCAUGAUUUAGCUAGCAACUACAAGCAAAGAGAACUUUAGUUUGAGAUCCCGAAACCAAGCGAGCUACCCCGAGAUAACCUAUUUCAGGGUUAAUCCGUCUCUGUGGCAAAAGAGUGGAAAAAGCUCCGGGUAGAAGUGACAGACCUACCGAGCCUGGUGAUAGCUGGUUGCCUAAAAAAUGGAUAAAAGUUCAGCCUCAUACUCCUUAUCUCGCAUAGAAGUUCUAAUAAUGUGAAUAAGCAAAAUAUAAGAGUUAUUCUAAGAGGGUACAGCCCCUUAGAAAUAGGACACAACCUUUCCAGGAGGUUAAGGAUCAUAAUUAUUAAGACUACUGCCCCCGUGGGCCUAAAAGCAGCCACCAAAUCCAGAAAGCGUUAAAGCUCAAGCAGACAAACAUCUAUUAUUCUAAUAAAAUAUCCUAAACCCCUAAUACUACUAGGCCUUUCCAUGCCAACAUGGUAUUGAUAAUGCUAAAAUGAGUAAUAAGAAGGAAACCCCUUCUCCUUAAACCCCUGUGUAAGUUAGAUUGAACCCCUCACUAACAAUUAACGAACCCAAAUAAAGAGGGUAAUGAGACCUAAAAUAAAAAACAAGAAAAUUCCACAAUAUAUUAAACCUAAUCGUUAAACCCACACUGGCGGGCUAAAGGGAAAGACUAAAAGAAAAGGAAGGAACUCGGCAAACACAAGCCUCGCCUGUUUACCAAAAACAUCGCCUCCCGCAAAAUCUCUAUGUAUAGGAGGUCUCGCCUGCCCAGUGACAAUCUGUUAAAUGGCCGCGGUAUUUUGACCGUGCUAAGGUAGCGUAAUCACUUGUCUUUUAAAUGAAGACCCGUAUGAAUGGUAGAACGAGGGCUUUACUGUCUCCCCUUUCCAGUCAAUGAAAUUGAUCUGCCCGUGCAGAAGCGGACAUAAUAAUAUAAGACGAGAAGACCCUAUGGAGCUUAAAACAUAAAUUAAGUAAGCUAAACCCAUAAAACAGUACAAAUAACUUAUUAACUAAUUAAUGUUUUCAGUUGGGGCAACUAUGAGGAAAAAUAUAGCCCUCAUGCGGAAUGGGAUAUUUCCUAAAACCAAGAGACACAUCUCUAAGUCACAAUUAAAUUUGACCUAAAGAUCCGGCUUAAGCCGAUCAACGAACCAAGUUACCCUAGGGAUAACAGCGCAAUCCCCUCCUAGAGACCCUAUCGACAAGGGGGUUUACGACCUCGAUGUUGGAUCAGGACAUCCUAAUGGUGCAGCCACUAUUAAGGGUUCGUUUGUUCAACGAUUAAAGUCCUACGUGAUCUGAGUUCAGACCGGAGCAAUCCAGGUCAGUUUCUAUCUAUAACACUAUUUUUCCUUGUACGAAAGGACCGGAAAAAUAAGGCCCAUACCACAAGCAUGCCUCACCUCAACUUAAUGUAAACAACUUAACUAAAUAAAGGGAAGUACUAAAAAAUAGCGAAAUAAGCAGCAU